GCGCGAGUGGCGGAAUUGGCAGACGCGCCAGAUUUAGGUUCUGGUGCCCUCGGGUGUGCGGGUUCAAGUCCCGCCUCGCGCA
rfam:Tetrasphaera elongata Lp2 genomic scaffold, 2093_scaffold1